GCUGCUUACGAUAGACCCUCGGCUUAUAACCAAUAACAGUAUAGCAAACACAAAACAUAAAUGCAAUAAAACUUGUACAAGCGAAAUAAACUAACAAUGUUAACCACAAGAUAAUACUAGAGCCAAAAGAUACUACUAAAGACUAUAUAUCUAGCAAACACAAAACAUAAAUGCAAUAAAACUUGUACAAGCGAAAUAAACUAACAAUGUUAACCACAAGAUAGUACUAGAGCCAAAA
rnacentral:lncRNA from 1 species